CGUGUUCUAGAGUAUGAUUGGGCGAAUUCGAGGGCGAAUUCGAUCGAAGGGGGGAAGAAUGUAAUACCCCGAGUUUUAAAUUAAUAUAUCUCGCGGAAUAUUAGAGCAAACGCGCAAAAGUUCAACUUUUAAACCAUUGUUCGUAUAGGCGAUCGGGAACCGUGGAUGCGUAGAGCUCGCCGAGUAGUGCAAAAUAGACUAUAAAUUUAUAGUAAUCGGAGUCCGAACGAAGUCCCGAGGAUUGAAUAGAUGUGAGCCGUUAGAUCUUAUCUAGUCUCUUUAUAUAACCAACCAAAAAAAAAACAAACGAAAAAAAAAGAAACAGGAGCGAUUCUCCUGUAGCCCUAGCCGCCGCACCUCCUGCGCUCUGCCGCCGCCGCUGCUGUUCCUCUCUUCGCCGGCGCCGCCGCUGGUGCAGCCAUCGCCGGUCGCCACAGCCGUCGUCGUCCGCAGCCGGUCGUUGGAAGGAGGGAGAGAAGGCAGAGAAGAACAGGAAGGAAGGAAAGAAGGGGAAAUUUGAUAGAAGAAGGGAAAUUUGGGGAAUUUGGUGAAUAUUUCCAAAUUCUUCGUUUUUCUUAUACAUUAGUACUGCUAGGUAAUCCGUUUUAGUCUAUAGUUGUUUCUAAUUUAUAUUUAAGACGAUCUGUUUCCGGUUUUUUCGAAUUUAUUUUAUAUCGAACGCUAGGCUGAAACCGUAUUUUCAAAUCUGGUAUUAAACCAUCA